rnacentral:rRNA from 1 species
AAGGAAUAUUGGGCAAUGGACGCAAGUCUGACCCAGCCAUGCCGCGUGAAGGAUGACGGCCCUAUGGGUUGUAAACUUCUUUUAUACGGAAAAAAACUCCUGGUUUCGUACCGGGACUGAUGGUACCGUAAGAAUAAGGAUCGGCUAACUCCGUGCCAGCAGCCGCGGUAAUACGGAGGAUCCUAGCGUUAUCCGGAUUUAUUGGGUUUAAAGGGUGCGCAGGCGGAAUGGUAAGUCAGUGGUGAAAUCCUACAGCUCAACUGUAGAACUGCCAUUGAUACUGCUGUUCUUGAGUAUAGCUGAAGUGGGCGGAAUGUGUCAUGUAGCGGUGAAAUGCUUAGAUAUGACACAGAACACCAAUUGCGAAGGCAGCUCACUAAACUAUAACUGACGCUCAUGCACGAAAGCGUGGGGAUCAAAC